AUGAGGAAUCAAAUAUUUCUAUUUAUCAUAUAUUUAGUACAAAAUACAGCUAUUUUGUAUAUCUAAUAAAGGUUGUUUUUCCAGUCUGUAUCACCUACCCUGUAUCGCAUACCCCGUAUCGCAUAGCUAAACCCGUAUCGCAUACCCCGUAUCGCAUGGUAAAACCCGUAUCGCAUACCUUUUUUUUUUUUUUUUUUUUACAUAAAGUUUUUUGUUUUUUUUUUUGCUUAAGAAAAAAUUUCCUCAAAAUAGGUCAUUUUUUUUAAUGACGUCAUUGUUUGGUAUGUAACGUCACGAACGUCAAGUUUUCAUAUUGUAUGUGACGUCACGAACAUCAAGUUUGCAUAUUUUUUGGCACACUAAAUGCAACUAUAAAAAAUACAAAACUCUCAAAUAAAUACAAUAAUAAACAAAAUAUUUUUAAAACAGCAGCAGGCAAAUGGUAAGGUAACCUAGGUGCUUUGUAUAAGCAGUUAUUUUAAGGCUUUGAACCAAGACAAAAGCAGAACUGAAGGUAACCCAGUGCUAAUCUAUCGGGAUCAGAAAACAGUUCAUAUAAUAUAAUACUCUUCUGUUGAAAUAUAUGAUAAAGCGUAUAAUACAUGGCAAAAUCCGUAUCACAUGCCGUAUCACCCUCGACCAAUAUCAUCCCUCGGGCCUAAAGGCCCUUGGGCUGAUAUUGAUGUCUCGGGAUGAUACGACAUAUGAUACGGAUUUUGCCAUGUAUUAUUCUC
rnacentral:lncRNA from 1 species